rnacentral:rRNA from 1 species
CAGUCGAGCGGUAGCACAAGGGAAGCUUGCUCCCUGGGUGACGAGCGGCGGACGGGUGAGUAAUGUCUGGGAAACUGCCUGAUGGAGGGGGAUAACUACUGGAAACGGUAGCUAAUACCGCAUAACGUCGCAAGACCAAAGAGGGGGACCUUCGGGCCUCUUGCCAUCAGAUGUGCCCAGAUGGGAUUAGCUAGUAGGUGGGGUAAUGGCUCACCUAGGCGACGAUCCCUAGCUGGUCUGAGAGGAUGACCAGCCACACUGGAACUGAGACACGGUCCAGACUCCUACGGGAGGCAGCAGUGGGGAAUAUUGCACAAUGGGCGCAAGCCUGAUGCAGCCAUGCCGCGUGUGUGAAGAAGGCCUUCGGGUUGUAAAGCACUUUCAGCGAGGAGGAAGGUGGUGAACUUAAUACGUUCAUCAAUUGACGUUACUCGCAGAAGAAGCACCGGCUAACUCCGUGCCAGCAGCCGCGGUAAUACGGAGGGUGCAAGCGUUAAUCGGAAUUACUGGGCGUAAAGCGCACGCAGGCGGUUUGUUAAGUCAGAUGUGAAAUCCCCGGGCUCAACCUGGGAACUGCAUUUGAAACUGGCAAGCUAGAGUCUCGUAGAGGGGGGUAGAAUUCCAGGUGUAGCGGUGAAAUGCGUAGAGAUCUGGAGGAAUACCGGUGGCGAAGGCGGCCCCCUGGACGAAGACUGACGCUCACGUGCGAAAGCGUGGGGAGCAAACAGGAUUAAAUACCCUGGUAGUCCACGCUGUAAACGAUGUCAUUUGGAGGUUGUGCCCUUGAAGCGUGUCUUCCCGAGCUAACGCG